AUUGAACGCUGGCGGCAUGCCUUACACAUGCAAGUCGAACGGUAACAGGUUAAGCUGACGAGUGGCGAACGGGUGAGUAAUGUAUCGGAACGUGCCCAGUCGUGGGGGAUAACUGCUCGAAAGAGCAGCUAAUACCGCAUACGACCUGAGGGUGAAAGCGGGGGAUCGCAAGACCUCGCGCGAUUGGAGCGGCCGAUAUCAGAUUAGGUAGUUGGUGGGGUAAAGGCCUACCAAGCCUACGAUCUGUAGCUGGUCUGAGAGGACGACCAGCCACACUGGGACUGAGACACGGCCCAGACUCCUACGGGAGGCAGCAGUGGGGAAUUUUGGACAAUGGACGCAAGUCUGACCCAGCCAUGCCGCGUGCGGGAAGAAGGCCUUCGGGUUGUAAACCGCUUUUGUCAGGGAAGAAAAGGUUCUGGUUAAUACCUGGGACUCAUGACGGUACCUGAAGAAUAAGCACCGGCUAACUACGUGCCAGCCGCCGCCGUAAGAC
rnacentral:rRNA from 1 species